CAGAGAUGGAUUGGUGCCUUCGGGAACUGUGAGACAGGUGCUGCAUGGCUGUCGUCAGCUCGUGUUGUGAAAUGUUGGGUUAAGUCCCGCAACGAGCGCAACCCUUAUCCUUUGUUGCCAGCGGUCCGGCCGGGAACUCAAAGGAGACUGCCAGUGAUAAACUGGAGGAAGGUGGGGAUGACGUCAAGUCAUCAUGGCCCUUACGACCAGGGCUACACACGUGCUACAAUGGCGCAUACAAAGAGAAGCGACCUCGCGAGAGCAAGCGGACCUCAUAAAGUGCGUCGUAGUCCGGAUUGGAGUCUGCAACUCGACUCCAUGAAGUCGGAAUCGCUAGUAAUCGUGGAUCAGAAUGCCACGGUGAAUACGUUCCCGGGCCUUGUACACACCGCCCGUCACACCAUGGGAGUGGGUUGCAAAAGAAGUAGGUAGCUUAACCUUCGGGAGGGCGCUUACCACUUUGUGAUUCAUGACUGGGGCGAAGUCGUAACAAGGUAGCCGUAUCGGAAGGUGCGGCUGGAUCACCUC
rnacentral:rRNA from 1 species